AUGCCGCAGCUGCGGGGCUCGGUGGACUCGGCGAGCAAGAGCCCCAGGACGCUGCUGGCGGCGGGCGAGGAGCUGGGGCGCGGCGCGGGGCGGCUCUAGGCGCUGUGGCCGCUCAGCGUCUGGGACCCAGCGCCGCCCAGGUCAGGGAAUCCUUGGUGUUCCCGCCCCGCAGCACCCGGGGCGGGGGAGGAGUCGGCGCGGUCGUGCGGCCGUGGAGGACAGCGAGACCCGGGGCUGCGGCUGCAGGCCGAGGGGCCCCUGGGACAGUGAGAAGCAGCGGCGGGAGCUAGUCACGGGGCAGGGAGCGCUCAGCGGUAAAGACGGCUUCAUCUGACUCCAGGGCUGGCAGGCGGCCCGGAUGGCAUGCCGUCUCCUGCGGAGAAUUCCAAUUUCCCCCUAAAUCGCUCAACAAGCGAGAAGGUUUUGGGAUUCGAAUUCAGUGGGGCAAGCGAAGUCGCCUUUCCUUCUUAAACAGAUGGAAUCCCUGGUCCACAAACGUACCCUGUGCCAAUUUCAUACAACACGCUAUGGCUGCUGCGGAUGAGAACACAGCAACUCUGCCAGAUGAAAAGCUUCAAGGCUCUGUGAAUCCAAGGUCAAAAACGCCAAAAAGGAAAGUCCUUUUCCAGGACAAGCGCACGCGUGCUGGUCGUGGAGCGCCCCCUCCUCAUGGAGACCGGCCUGGGAUUGAUGUCCUUCAUUAACAAUGAGGCUAAACUGGGCUAUUCCAUGACUGACCAGGGGCAAAAUAGGCUUUUAG
rnacentral:lncRNA from 1 species